UUCGGAUAGCUCAGGCACCGCUCGGAGAGUUCCGUAGCUCCCGCUCGUGGAGUUUCGUGAUGCUCUCGGGUGUUUCCGUCUCGCUCGUAGAUUUUCGCCUGUAUUUUCGGGCGUUAUUGCCGAGCCCUCUCGGAAGGUUCCGGUAUCGAUCGGCUUCUUUCGCCGCUCUCCUUCGGGAAUCUCCGUAGAGCUUUCGGGCGUUUCCGUCGGGUGCUGAGCUGUUCCCGCCUUUUGGGGGCGCGGGCGAGUCUUCGCUGAGGUUGGAGCUGGGCUCCCCUCGUAGCUGUUGCAAGGCAGAGCCUGGUCACUGGUGCUCCCAGAGCCGUCAGUCCCCACACAGCAUCCAGAGCUUGCCAGAUGUGCUGUGGAACCAAAACUACACAAGAUUAAGAAAUUGACUUUGAGAACAUCCAAUUGUGUAUCAAAAAGGUCCUCUUUAUUUAUAGAGUGAUAAUGAGAGUAUGUUUGCUCUAAAGUGCUCCAUGUGUCCAUUGAACAUCUCAGGGAUGAUGGCAGUGCUGGGACCAGGGUGGUGUAAGUAAAACAAAUCCACUUUGAUACCCAACCUUUAGUAGCCAUAAUGAAUUUUCUAGCCUUAAAUUUCCUUUUGCCAGCCAAAUCAGCCUUGAUUAUUAACAAGGAUGAUAUAGGGAGAGAAAACUGGCUUGUCAGUAGAGAGUUCACAAGACCUCAGAGGGGUUCCCUGGGCAGGGCCAGGGACCUGGAACCACUCAGGAAGUUAAGGGCAUACAGGGCCACAAACAAGGC